rnacentral:rRNA from 1 species
UGUGUAGGCGGUUCUCUAAGUUUGGUGUGAAAUCUCCCGGCUCAACUGGGAGGGUGCGCCGAAAACUGGGGGGCUAGAGUACUGGAUGGGAGAGUGGAAUUCCUGGUGUAGCGGUGAAAUGCGUAGAUAUCAGGAGGAACACCUGUGGUGUAGACGGCUCUCUGGACAGUAACUGACGCUGAGACACGAAAGCGUGGGUAGCAAACA